GAUGAACGCUGGCGGCGUGCCUAAUACAUGCAAGUCGAGCGAACAGACGAUGAGCUUGCUCCUCUGACGUUAGCGGCGGACGGGUGAGUAACACGUGGAUAACCUACCUAUAAUACUGGGAUAACUUCGGGAAACCGGAGCUAAUACCGGAUAAUAUAUUGUACCGCAUGGUUCAAUAGUGAAAGACGGUUUUGCUGUCACUUUUAGAUGGAUCCGCGCCGCAUUAGCUAGUUGGUAAGGUAACGGCUUACCAAGGCGACGAUGCGUAGCCGACCUGAGAGGGUGAUCGGCCACACUGGAACUGAGACACGGUCCAGACUCCUACGGGAGGCAGCAGUAGGGAAUAUUCCGCAAUGGGCGAAAGCCUGACGGAGCAACGCCGCGUGAGUGAUGAAGGUCUUCGGAUCGUAAAACUCUGUUAUUAGGGAAGAACAACUGUGUAAGUAACUAUGCACGUCUUGACGGUACCUAAUCAGAAAGCCACGGCUAACUACGUG
rnacentral:rRNA from 1 species